rnacentral:lncRNA from 1 species
CAGGCCGGCAGAUGGUUAUUUUUACGUGGCCGUUUCCUGUCUAUUUAACUUGUAGCUUGGCACAUCUUUCCGAAGAGUGCCGAGAGGAAAAAAGGAAGCAGCAGUCCUGCAAUGGCUGGCCUGCUAUAACAUCAACGUUCGGGCCAUCUCGGACCUACAGGAUGGCUUGCAGCUGCUCAAGCUGUUGUCAACCAUGCGAGUCUUGCUUGCAUCCGGUGUUGAGGCGAUUGCAUGGCCUUAUGAUACAUUCAACUGGUUCCUACCGAUCUCCAACUCAGUUUGCAAUGAUGCAGAGCCCUCUUGAAAUUGGAGCCAGAGAAAGCCUGCUCCAGCAGAACGUAGAGAUGCUCGCAGAGUAAUCAGAGUAGCCACGUGAUUGGGUUUGUCACAGGUCAGUCAUACUCUCAGGUCAAAGGUGGGAGCACCUUCGAGCACUCCGAAGGCAUGGCACUCUGAAUAAACCACACGAAUGUGUCCACCGCGCUCAAUUUUGCCCAGUCGACUGUAAACCAUACCGCGAGAGCGUUAGAAAUCGACCAGUGUAAUGUACCAUUAGCUAAUGCAACAAGAAUGGUGUUUAGAGAUAAAGUCAUGGGAAAAUGGCAUUCAUAGAUGAAAGAAAAUUUGGCCAAAAGCUACUUGAGAGGGCAAUCUUGAAAUCUUACGUUGAAGAAAUUUUAUUUUUUAAAUAUUACUUCCUCUCCUGAAGCUAUUCCCUGGUAUGUGUGAGUUUCAGGGUGUUUCCUUAGGCACGUGCUACAUUUGUUUUACUUGUCAGUCCCGUAUAUUGAUAUGAUGUGCCUACGAUUUAAAUUAGUUGUGAAGCUACAAUUCCGCUUGCAAAAUGAAUGAAAAUGCAUGAAUGCUUGUAUGACCAAUUCCUCUGGUGCAAAAGGCUGCUUUAGUUAUCAAUUGAUACACACGACAAAGGUUUAUACAAGAACAUGACACAUUGAUUUAACUCUAAAACUAGUGUAGCCGCACCAAUGUUCAUAGUGCCACCAGGACUUUGCCAGUUUCUGUAAACUGAUUCCUAGUGAUAUCCUUCAUUCACACAGUGCUUUUGACUUUACAUACACCCAAAGGAAAAAUAACUGUCAUUUGGGCCUGGCAUUCUUUACCUUUGCUCCAACAGUCAUUCGUCUUCAUGUGUGUCGGUUACACAGAAAAUCUGAUUACGAAAUUGCCAAAAAUGUGUUUCACAAUGAAUGCGUAGAACUACAGUUCUCAUAAUUAUUGCAAAAGUAAGCUGUGCUUUUGUAAAGUAUGUAUGUGUGUGCCUUUUUAAAGAAGGCAAGCUCCAUUUUUAUUCAAUUGCACGUGCUCGCACCACUAUUUUUGCAGCCUCAUUUUUUCUUCGCACAGCAGUGGACUGGAAUGGCCUUCCCCGUGACAUUGCAGCCAUCACGUGUUCAUCAACCUUUGCGGACAACUUAAGUGCAUAUUGUUUGUCACGAAGAUCACUCCCUGUAACCUUUAUUUGUAAACCCACCCCUUAUGUAACACCCCCUAACCGGGGACUUAGGUAGUGAAGUGAAGGCUUCCGACACACAUUACAUAAAUGCAUUAUGGGAGUUUAGCAAAUUAUAACUUGCAGAACUUGAUUUGUUGGAAGAUGCUUUUCAGCACAAUGGAAAGAAUGAAAUUGCUUGCUAAUAUUUUUUGUUGAACAUUGUUUUGAACACAGAACUAGCACGCUUGAGCAACUCCACUUCCAUAUUUCAUUUCUAUUAUAUGUCUGGAUAUACGUUGUUAUAUGGCAUAGAGCUGGCGACCUUAGCGGUGUGGUGGUAGUAAAUGUGUGUUUUGACAAAUCAAUUAUAGGGAGCUUUAAAAUGUCGCUGAGCGGAUUUGGAUACCUAAAAACCAAACUCCUUUCCAUACCUGUUGCACUCUCUCUGCAUUCUUUUGUACGCCUGGCCGGUACAGUUCCUUAUCUUUGCGUCCCAUGUUUUAAAACUUUUAAUUGUUGGAUUUGAAGUUGCUACAGGAAUUUCAGCCAUGCUGUUUGAUGUUGUACACAUUGUGCUUCCAUUACCUGUUGCUUCAGCAUUUCAGUCAUUUGGGAUGUUUAUAUGUAGUUGAUCUAUGACAGGUAUAGACAUACCUGUGUACAUCUCACCUCCCAGUAAUGUCUAUCUCAAGGUAUGUGCUGAAGGGGAUAGUGGGAUCCUUUAAGGGAAUCAACAAUUUCAAACUAGUUUUUUGUAAUGAUCUUUGGUGAAAUAGGUUCCUAGAGUGCUAAACUGUUGUAGUUGCAUGCAUUAAGGAAUUCAUUUCAUCGUUAGGUGUCCAAUUUAGGAUUUUUUAAUUUCUUCUAGUAACCCAAGUGCCAGCAUUGAUAACUUCAACCCUGGAAAGACAUUUUCAAGUAUAAAGAAGCAGCUGUGUGGGCACCAUGCCUGUCUAUGAGCCCGCUUCCUAUUUUUGGGUGUCGCAAACAAGAGCAAAUGCAAUGUUCACUUCGCCAUCACUACCAUCCUGGCGCUGUCGGUUCUGGCGCUUCAAGCCACGAGUUGUAGCCCGACCAUUGAGGUGGCCCCACUUAAGCUUCACGAGACAACACAGUGCUGCAUUAUAGACUUCAUAGAGAUUGUGAGUGCCAGUGAUGAUGUGCUCGACAACCUCGCAGCCUACUUGAAAGCCUUGCCCAGCAUCCUAUGUGGAACAUCUUUCGUCGGCGAAGGUCAAACGCAGAAAGAACGAGAGUUUCACCACCCGUCUGUCGGAAGCACCGACCCCGAUUAAACAUAACAGCAUAUCACCGCAGCAGCAAAUCCUUGUGGCAGCCAAAAGUGAUCUUGAGCGUGAGAUAGCUGCUGUCAAGAAAGAAAGGGAUGACCUCACUGCCAGCCUAUCAAGCCAGCAAAGCACUAAAAGAUUUCCGUGUAUUAAGUGACGUGAUUCACCACUUGCCAGUCGACGAUGUACAGCACAGGUCGUGGCGCUCAUCCACCAUACAACUGACUGGCCAAUGGAUGACCGCAGCCACCUGGCUUGAUGGGCUCGUCUGCCAGAGCACCAUCACCGUGAAUACGGGAACAAUUUCUGACUUCAAAUAAUGACUACUAUUAGAAUAAAGUG